GUUAUAUCCCUGGUCAAAUAAAGGAGUGACUGAGUCAUCUCCCCGGGCAUUGCCUGGGCCUGUCCCUCACAUGCCCUGGCAUGUCCCUCACCCUACCACAUGGCUCAAACACCCUGAAGUCUUCAGAAGUGGUGAUAUGCACGUAGAGGAUAGCAGGAGAAAAAGAAGACAGGAGACAAGAUAUAAUAGAAUCAUAGAAUCAUGAAGGCUGGAAAAGACCUUCAAGAUCAGCUAGGCCAACCCUCAACCCAUCACCACCUCUCUCAGCAUUGCCCAGAUACUUUGGAUUGCUCUGUGUAUCUGUUGUACACAAAGAAGCUUUCAGAUGCCAGCCAAACACACGAAGAUUGCAAGAGCAAGAACUUGGACAGCAGUGUAGAUAUCAAAAGAGACGGCAGCCCAGGCAGAAGACAUUAAUUUUUCUGCUAUAAAACUGCCCCCCUUGGACAAUCAGCUCACCUAGAGAUCUACUGCUUGCUCAGAAGAGGCUGUUGUGGACUUCUCUGGGUCCAGGACUUCACCAAUGGCCAGGUGCGAAACUCAGCAGUUGAAGCAAUGGGAAGAAAUGAAUGUUUGUGAAUUUGUAUCAUUCUCUCUGUUCCACAGACAUGAGGCUGAGAGUGG
rnacentral:lncRNA from 1 species